rnacentral:piRNA from 1 species
AAUGUAAUUGAUAAUAAAAGGCAAG